CCUACGGGGGGCUGUAGUGGGGAAUAUUGGACAAUGGGCGAAAGCCUGAUCCAGCCAUGCCGCGUGUGUGAAGAAGGCCUUCGGGUUGUAAAGCACUUUCAGUGGGGAAGAAAGCCUUGGGGCUAAUACCCUCGAGGAAGGACAUCACCCACAGAAGAAGCACCGGCUAACUCCGUGCCAGCAGCCGCGGUAAUACGGAGGGUGCGAGCGUUAAUCGGAAUUACUGGGCGUAAAGCGCGCGUAGGCGGUCUGAUAAGCCGGUUGUGAAAGCCCCGGGCUCAACCUGGGAACGGCAUCCGGAACUGUCAGGCUAGAGUGCAGGAGAGGAAGGUAGAAUUCCCGGUGUAGCGGUGAAAUGCGUAGAGAUCGGGAGGAAUACCAGUGGCGAAGGCGGCCUUCUGGACUGACACUGACGCUGAGGUGCGAAAGCGUGGGUAGCAAACAGGAUUAGAUACCUAGUGUC
rnacentral:rRNA from 1 species